UACAGAGGGUGCGAGCGUUGUCCGGAAUCACUGGGCGUAAAGGGCGCGUAGGCGGCUUGAUAAGGUUGCGGUGAAAGCCCGGGGCUCAACCCCGGGUCGGCCGUGGCAACUGUCGAGCUGGAGCGCUGUAGAGGCAGGUGGAAUUCCGGGUGUAGCGGUGGAAUGCGUAGAGAUCCGGAAGAACACCGGUGGCGAAGGCGGCCUGCUGGGCAGUGGCUGACGCUGAGGCGCGACAGCGUGGGGAGCAAACAGG
rnacentral:rRNA from 1 species